GACGAACGCUGGCGGCGUGCUUAACACAUGCAAGUCGAACGAAGUGGCGAACGGGUGAGUAAUACGUGAGUAACCUGCCCUCCUUUUUGGGAUAAGCCUUGGAAACGGGGUCUAAUACCGAAUAAAGGGGGAUGGGCUCGCGGCCUAUCAGCUUGUUGGGGGGGUGAUGGCCUACCAAGGCGGUGACGGGUAGCCGGCCGGAGAGGGUGACCGGCAAAAUUGGGACUGAGAUACGGCCCAGACUCCUACGAGGGUGAGGAGUGGGGGAUAUUGCACAAUGGGCGAAAGCCUGAUGCAGCGACGCCGCGUGGGGGAUGAAGGCUUUCGGGUUGUAAACCUCUUUCGCUGGCGAAAGGGUAGGUGGAGAAGAAGCGCCGGCUAACUACGUGCCAGCAGCCGCGGUAAUAC
rnacentral:rRNA from 1 species